ACAGCAGCAGCCGCGGGAAAACGAAGGGGGCUAGCGUUGUUCGGAAUUACUGGGCGUAAAGCGCACGUAGGCGGAUAUUUAAGUCAGGGGUGAAAUCCCAGAGCUCAACUCUGGAACUGCCUUUGAUACUGGGUAUCUUGAGUAUGGAAGAGGUGAGUGGAAUUCCGAGUGUAGAGGUGAAAUUCGUAGAUAUUCGGAGGAACACCAGUGGCGAAGGCGGCUCACUGGUCCAUUACUGACGCUGAGGUGCGAAAGCGUGGGGAGCAAACAGGAUUAGAUACCCCUGUAGUCCCUGUCUCUUAUAC
rnacentral:rRNA from 1 species